rnacentral:rRNA from 1 species
AAUACCCCAUGGUAUCCGGCUUGUCCGGAUUAAAGAUUUAUCGCUCUGGGAGGGGCCUGCGUCUGAUUAGCUAGUUGGUGAGGUAAAGCUCACCAAGGCGACGAUCAGUAGCUGGAUCGAGAGGUUGACCAGCCACACUGGGACUGAGAUACGGCCCAGACUCCGUACGGGAGGCAGCAGGUAAGGAAUAUUCCACAAGUGGGGAAACCCCUGAUGGAGCAAUGCCGCGUGCAGGAUGAAGCGUUUCGGCGUGUAAACUGCUUUUAAACGGGAAGAUUAUGACGGUACCGUUAGAAUAAGGACCGGCUAAUUACGUG